CUCGACAACAUUCUUAGCUUCCUCGAUAGUCUUUUCCACUUUUAGUACUCUCUCUUUCUUCUCGAUGAGGGCACUCUCGGCCAACUCUAUCUCUUUUUGGUAAUUGGCCUUCAGCUUCUCAAACUUCUCCCUAUCGCUCUGCUGCUGGGCUGCCCAAUUGGCCAACUCAGCCUCCAAUAGAGAGAUUUUCUCUAUGCUCUUCCUUUCUCGCUCCUUGAUAGCUUGGAGGAGCUCGUCGGAUACUUCGACCCAUGUAUGAGUAG
rnacentral:lncRNA from 1 species